rnacentral:lncRNA from 1 species
CGUUUGAUGUGUUUGGGAUUUUGAUUUUGCCAUUUGAUUAAGGACUUUCCGUUUUGAAAUUUCCUCGGAGUUCAGUAUUUUUGUGAUUUUACUAUUAAAUGUUUUCUGAGUAUUAUGAAGUUAAAGCCUUGAAAACUAAAACUGAUAAUGGCAAUUGUGUUUUACCUAGACCUUGCAUGCUCAUUUAUGUUAACGGUCUCUGAACAAUUAUGUGGUAAAGUGGAAACUACGGGGCGGAAGAAACGAGCUUUAUUGAUUCGUAUAACAUUAGGAUUAUUCUUCAAUAUUACUGCCUUUAUUACUGUCUGUGUAGUGAACAGAGAAAUAUUUAUAGAAGGGAAGACUGCUCUGGGAUUAUUCAUAUAUAUUGUCGUGUUUACUGUGAUAUCUUAUAUCGCUAUUGAAGUAGCAGUUUGGAUCAAUUGUCAUGUUGAUGACAUGGAUGAUAAUGAUAUUCUUAUUAGUAUGAUAUACUACAGACUAUAUGAAAUCGAAUUUGAUAUCCUUGUUUUUUUCUACACACUUGUUUUAUCAGACUGGAAAUUGACGGAGUUUACAACUGCUACAACUUGUCUAGCCAGUGUUGAUAUAGUUGUAAAUAUCAUUAUGCUUGGCAAGAAUUUUUAUGACGUUAAAGAUACUGAAUGUGGGUUUUGCUACCCCUUAUGUUUUGUCAUGAUUCCAAUUAUACCAAUAAUACAUAUCAUUAUGAAAAUACGACGACCCUAAUGUUAAAACAUAUGAUAAACUCAAAACUAGAGGCUCUAAACAGCCUGUGUCGCUCACCUUGGUCUUUGUGUAUAUCAAACAAAGGACACAGAUGGAUUAAUGACAAAAUUGUGUUUUGGUGAUGGUGAUGUGUUUGUAGAUCUUAUUUUACUGAACAUUCUUGCUGCUUAUAAUUAUCUCUAUCUAUAAUGAACUUGGCC